rnacentral:rRNA from 1 species
CCGCGUGCAGGAUGAAGGCCUUCGGGUUGUAAACUGCUUUUGUACGGAGCGAAAAGGCUCUCACUAAGUACUGGGGGCUCAUGACGGUACCGUAAGAAUAAGCACCGGCUAACUACGUGCCAGCAGCCGCGGUAAUACGUAGGGUGCAAGCGUUAAUCGGAAUUACUGGGCGUAAAGCGUGCGCAGGCGGUCUUGUAAGACAGGUGUGAAAUCCCCGGGCUUAACCUGGGAACUGCAUUUGUGACUGCAAGACUGGAGUACGGCAGAGGGGGAUGGAAUUCCGCGUGUAGCAGUGAAAUGCGUAGAUAUGCGGAGGAACACCGAUGGCGAAGGCAAUCCCCUGGGCCUGUACUGACGCUCAUGCACGAAAGCGUGGGGAGCAAACAGGAUUAGAUACCCUGGUAGUCCACGCCCUAAACGAUGUCAACUGGUUGUUGGGUCUUCACUGACUCAGUAACGAAGCUAACGCGCGAAGUUGACCGCCUGGGGAGUACGGCCGCAAGGUUG